AGACCCGAAACCCGGUGAUCUAGCCAUGGGCAGGUUGAAGGUUGGGUAACACUAACUGGAGGACCGAACCGACUAAUGUUGAAAAAUUAGCGGAUGACCUGUGGCUGGGGGUGAAAGGCCAAUCAAACCGGGAGAUAGCUGGUUCUCCCCGAAAGCUAUUUAGGUAGCGCCUCGUGAAUUCAUCUCCGGGGGUAGAGCACUGUUUCGGCUAGGGGGCCAUCCCGGCUUACCAACCCGAUGCAAACUGCGAAUACCGGAGAAUGUUAUCACGGGAGACACACGGCGGGUGCUAACGUCCGUCGUGAAGAGGGAAACAACCCAGACCGCCAGCUAAGGUCCCAAAGUCAUGGUUAAGUGGGAAACGAUGUGGGAAGGCCCAGACAGCCAGGAUGUUGGCUUAGAAGCAGCCAUCAUUUAAAGAAAGCGUAAUAGCUCACUGGUCGAGUCGGCCUGCGCGGAAGAUGUAACGGGGCUAAACCAUGCACCGAAGCUGCGGCAGCGAACGUAUCACCCAAGACAACUUUACGGAGUUGACGAUUGACGGAGCGAAGCGACGUCAAAGCGUUCAUUAAAGUCGAGUUGGCUUAGGGAUACGUUCGUUGGGUAGGGGAGCGUUCUGUAAGCCUGUGAAGGUGUGUCGUGAGGCAUGCUGGAGGUAUCAGAAGUGCGAAUGCUGACAUAAGUAACGAUAAAGCGGGUGAAAAGCCCGCUCGCCGGAAGACCAAGGGUUCCUGUCCAACGUUAAUCGGGGCAGGGUGAGUCGACCCCUAAGGCGAGGCCGAAAGGCGUAGUCGAUGGGAAACGGGUUAAUAUUCCCGUACUUGGUGUUACUGCGAAGGGGGGACGGAGAAGGCUAUGUUGGCCGGGCGACGGUUGUCCCGGUUUAAGCGUGUAGGUGUGUGUUCCAGGUAAAUCCGGUUCACUUUAACACUGAGGCGUGACGACGAGGCACUACGGUGCUGAAGCAACAAAUGCCCUGCUUCCAGGAAAAGCCUCUAAGCAUCAGGUAACAUCAAAUCGUACCCCAAACCGACACAGGUGGUCAGGUAGAGAAUACCAAGGCGCUUGAGAGAACUCGGGUGAAGGAACUAGGCAAAAUGGUGCCGUAACUUCGGGAGAAGGCACGCUGACACGUAGGUGAAGUGAUUUACUCAUGGAGCUGAAGUCAGUCGAAGAUACCAGCUGGCUGCAACUGUUUAUUAAAAACACAGCACUGUGCAAACACGAAAGUGGACGUAUACGGUGUGACGCCUGCCCGGUGCCGGAAGGUUAAUUGAUGGGGUCAGCGCAAGCGAAGCUCCUGAUCGAAGCCCCGGUAAACGGCGGCCGUAACUAUAACGGUCCUAAGGUAGCGAAAUUCCUUGUCGGGUAAGUUCCGACCUGCACGAAUGGCGUAAUGAUGGCCAGGCUGUCUCCACCCGAGACUCAGUGAAAUUGAACUCGCUGUGAAGAUGCAGUGUACCCGCGGCAAGACGGAAAGACCCCGUGAACCUUUACUAUAGCUUGACACUGAACAUUGAGCCUUGAUGUGUAGGAUAGGUGGGAGGCUUUGAAGUGUGGACGCCAGUCUGCAUGGAGCCGACCUUGAAAUACCACCCUUUAAUGUUUGAUGUUCUAACGUGGACCCGUAAUCCGGGUUGCGGACAGUGUCUGGUGGGUAGUUUGACUGGGGCGGUCUCCUCCUAAAGAGUAACGGAGGAGCACGAAGGUUGGCUAAUCCUGGUCGGACAUCAGGAGGUUAGUGCAAUGGCAUAAGCCAGCUUGACUGCGAGCGUGACGGCGCGAGCAGGUGCGAAAGCAGGUCAUAGUGAUCCGGUGGUUCUGAAUGGAAGGGCCAUCGCUCAACGGAUAAAAGGUACUCCGGGGAUAACAGGCUGAUACCGCCCAAGAGUUCAUAUCGACGGCGGUGUUUGGCACCUCGAUGUCGGCUCAUCACAUCCUGGGGCUGAAGUAGGUCCCAAGGGUAUGGCUGUUCGCCAUUUAAAGUGGUACGCGAGCUGGGUUUAGAACGUCGUGAGACAGUUCGGUCCCUAUCUGCCGUGGGCGCUGGAGAACUGAGGGGGGCUGCU
rnacentral:rRNA from 1 species